rnacentral:rRNA from 1 species
GAUCCUGGCUCAGGAUGAACGCUAGCUACAGGCUUUAACACAUGCAAGUCGAGGGGCAGCAUCAUCAAAGCUUGCUUUGAUGGAUGGCGACCGGCGCACGGGUGAGUAACACGUAUCCAACCUGCCGUCUACUCUUGGACAGCCUUCUGAAAGGAAGAUUAAUACAAGAUGUUAUCAUGAGUAAGCAUUUUCGCAUGAUUAAAGGUUUACCGGUGUAAGAUGGGGAUGCGUUCCAUUAGAUAGUAGGCGGGGUAACGGCCCACCUAGUCUUCGAUGGAUAGGGGUUCUGAGAGGAAGGUCCCCCACAUUGGAACUGAGACACGGUCCAAACUCCUACGGGAGGCAGCAGUGGGGAAUAUUGCACAAUGGGCGCAAGCCUGAUGCAGCGACGCCGCGUGAAGGAUGAAGUAUUUCGGUAUGUAAACUUCUAUCAGCAGGGAAGAAAAUGACGGUACCUGACUAAGAAGCCCCGGCUAACUACGUG